GAUGAAGAACGUAGCAAAAUGCGAUAAGUAAUGUGAAUUGCAGAAUUCAGUGAAUCAUCGAAUCUUUGAACGCACAUUGCGCCCGCUGGUAUUCCGGCGGGCAUGCCUGUUCGAGCGUCAUUUCAACCCUCAUGCCCCUAGGGCGUGGUGUUGGGGAUCGGCCAAAGCCCGCGAGGGACGGCCGGCCCCUAAAUCUAGUGGCGGACCCGUCGUGGCCUCCUCUGCGAAGUAGUGAUAUUCCGCAUCGGAGAGCGAUGAGCCCCUGCCGUUAAACCCCCAACUUUCCAAGGUUGACCUCAGAUCAGGUAGGAAUACCCGCUGAACUUAAGCAUAUCAAUAAGCGGAGGA
rnacentral:misc_RNA from 1 species